rnacentral:rRNA from 1 species
UACGUAGGGUGCGAGCGUUAAUCGGAAUUACUGGGCGUAAAGGGUGCGCAGGUGGCCGUGCAAGUCGAGCGUGAAAUCCCCGAGCUUAACCUGGGAAUUGCGCUCGAAACUACGUGGCUCGAGUGUGGCAGAGGAAGGUGGAAUUCCACGUGUAGCGGUGAAAUGCGUAGAGAUGUGGAGGAACACCGAUGGCGAAGGCAGCAUUCUGGGCCAACACUGACGCUCAUGCACGAAAGCGUGGGGAGCAAACAGG